rnacentral:ncRNA from 1 species
AAUGAUAGAGGUGCAAUUGACAUAAGUAGUAUCUCGGAGUUUGACAGACUUUGAGGAGAUAUGAAAGGGGAGAUUGCCGAAAUGAAAAUCAAGGUCAAAGGAUUUUUGUUGGUAAUUCAGAUAAGAUCUGCUUUACUGUCAUUGAAAAUUUCAAUGGAGAGCUAUCU